rnacentral:tRNA from 1 species
AGCCCGGUGGUGUAGCGGUCAAGCAUGGCGGGCAGGCGCCCCGCAGAUCCGGGGUUCGAAUCCCCGCCGGGCUACCA